rnacentral:snoRNA from 1 species
CCCUUCCAGUUCCCUUUCCCAUAGUGACUGACCACUAGUCUUGGUGGUGGUAAAGGAGGAAAAGUUAAAAAAAGUUAUAUCAAAACUUUCUAUCUUUUUUAACAAAAGA